GCUACGAGCAAACUCUCUAAUCGAAUUACAACUCUGUGCUUGCCUCAAAUUAAAACCCAAUCCAGUCUUGCUAUCUUGGUGUCUCUCUGAUGUUCUCUCAUUGCCUAGCUAGUUAGCUCAAAUCUUUGGUGGUGGUCUUGUACGUGUCAUUCGGGUCACCUGUGCGAGGCUUGGAUUUUUAUUCUGUCUUAUCAUUGGAAUAAGGGUUGCCUUUGAUUUGGAAAAGCGGUACAUAGAGUGAGGGAGAGACCGAUCGAGGGAACUAUUCAAGUGAAGUUUGGACGGAGGCAUCUUGGGAUAGAAUGUACACUGGCAGAAUGGUCGGCAGACGGAAUGACAUGGGACAAUGACCUAGGCUCUAAAGGAGAGGAAAUUGGCAAAAGCAUAGUGGCGUCAGAUGCUUUCUAUGCCCUGCCCAUCACACAGGAGUGGAUCAAGUGUUAAAUGUUUACUAGCUGAGAUGUGAAGUUCAUACUUUGGAUAUUGCAGACUGUGGAAUUAAAGAGCUUGGACUAAAGGAUUGUUACAAUUUGGACCACAUUUCUUCAGCAGCAGUUUUUUAAAUUUAAUCUUAUUCCUCAGAAGUAGCUGAUAUAAAGUGGAGAGAUAUUGAGAGCAGUAAGAGAGGGAUUCCUUGUCUAUCACAGGCAUGGAGGUGUCCAUGUGUAUCCUGUUGGUGCUCUCCUUGAUUCAUCUAGCUGCCUCUCAGCUUCCCAGAGGUAGACUCCAGUCAUCGUAUCAAUGGAGAACAGGUAAGAUACUUUCUUUUUACCAGACUGCUAUGAAAGCAUAUUGUGUAUGCUGUGUCAGCAGCCAGGGCUCUCAUGCCACUGUGAGGGACCUUAUGAGAAUUAAUGCCUUACCAAAGGGUGCUAGCGUAUCGACUGGGUUUCAAAUCUGGAACCUUCCUAGUUACAAUGCUAAUGCUCUAACACUGAGCCAUCAAGCCUCCAUAGAAUUUUUUUUUUUAAACUGUGAUUUACAAAUAUUGCUUCCAUCUUCUCCAUUACAUAAUAGUGUUUAUGGUAUUUGAAACAGGAUGGAAGCAUUCAGCCAUACCAGCAGAAGAAAAAAGUUUUUGAAAAUUGCAUU